AUCCAGCUGACGAGUCCAAAAUAAGACGAAACGCUUUCCCUGUAU
rnacentral:hammerhead_ribozyme from 1 species